rnacentral:rRNA from 1 species
GACGAACGCUGGCGGCGUGCCUAACACAUGCAAGUCGAGCGGGGAGAUUGCCUUCGGGUGAUCUUCUAGCGGCGGACGGGUGAGUAACGCGUGAGCAACCUUUCCUCUACUGGGGGAAUAACACCGGGAAACUGGUACUAAUACCGCAUGAGACCACAGCAUCGCAUGGUGCAGGGGUCAAAGAUUUAUCGGUAGAGGGUGGCCUCGCGUCUGAUUAGCUAGUUGGUGGGGUAACGGCCCACCAAGGCGACGAUCAGUAGCCGGACUGAGAGGUUGACCGGCCACAUUGGGACUGAGAUACGGCCCAGACUCCUACGGGAGGCAGCAGUGGGGAAUAUUGGGCAAUGGGCGAAAGCCUGACCCAGCAACGCCGCGUGAAGGAAGAAGGCCUUCGGGUUGUAAACUUCUUUUACCAGGGACGAACACAAUGACGGUACCUGGAGAAAAAGCAACGGCUAACUACGUG